rnacentral:rRNA from 1 species
UACGGGGGGGGCAAGCGUUGUUCGGAAUUACUGGGCGUAAAGGGCUCGUAGGCGGCCAACUAAGUCGGAUGUGAAAUCCCCAGGCUCAACCUGGGAACUGCAUCCGAUACUGGAUGGCUUGAAUCCGGGAGAGGGAUGCAGAAUUCCAGGUGUAGCGGUGAAAUGCGUAGAUAUCUGGAGGAACACCGGUGGCGAAGGCGGCAUCCUGGACCGGUAUUGACGCUGAGGAGCGAAAGCCAGGGGAGCAAACGGG